CUGCCCCACCCUCCCCUACUACCUUAAAAGUGUAAUCAUAAUCAAAAUUAAAAAAUAAUUUUUUUUCGACUUUUCUUAAAUUUUUGCGUUGGUUACUCAGCAAAUGUAAGAAAAUGACAAAAAAAAAAAAAAUUUCCAAAUAAUGUCAAAAAAAUCAAAGAAUAGCAAAAAACAAGUUUCAAUUUCUUUUUCUUUGAUUUUUUUUUUGAAAUUUCUAAAAUUUUUCUGUUCCUUUAAUUUAAGGCAUGAGUGUAACUCAUUUAAUUUAAGGUUCCGGUAUUAGGUCAACCAAUCCCGGUAUUGGAUCUUUCGGCCGCUCUAUAAAAAAAUUUUUGAUAUAUAUUAAAGUUAAGCAAAAUUAAUUAGUGUGAUUAUUCUUGAAUAAGGGAAUGUCGAUUUUAUAUAAUGUAAUAAUUUUUUUUUUUUUAUCUAUUUCAAUAUUUUUAAAACGACACAAAUCAGUCACGUACUCUUUAUCGUUAUGGUAUUAGGACAUUUACUUAAUAAAAAUAAUCAAGUUAUCUUAGGUUAAUUAGAUUUUUAAUUGGAAAAGUUAAAAUCGUCAUUAUGGAUACUUAAUUAUGUCGUCAAUGACGUCUUUUGAUUUUAUUAUCAUCAAUUUUAUUGCUGUAGCGUGGGUUAUGUUUCUCUUUAAAUAUCCAACAAAAUUUUGUGUGUGUAUUCAGUCUUGAUUGUAACGACACUCAAUACAUCAGCUCCUGCAGUAUAAAUAAUAAACCAAAAAAAAAUGUCCAAAUUACUCUUCUUCUUCAUUGCAAUGGUAGCCGUUAUUUCAAUGAUGGAAUUUGGUGCUGAAGGUUGCAAAGGAUAUUUUCAAUCUUGUGAAACUAGUAGCGAUUGCUGUACAAACCGUUGUCUUGACAAUUUCAUAGGAAAGUACUGCGCAGUAGGGAUUUUGGGUGUAGCCUAAAACCCAGUGUGUUACAAGUGUAUUAUUUUAACACACAUUAAUUAAGUUAAUAUUAUUAACUGUAUCGAUGUAUAAAAUUAAAAUAAAAGUACCGUACAACCAUACGGACACUUAAUAUUUCAUUUUUUAAUU